GUUUCGAGCGUCAAAGGCCACAAAGGCGCUUUGAAAGUUGACGAGCCUUCUGCACAUUUGGCCUUUCUCCAUUGGACGCGCUCCGCCGCGGCUUUGUGGCGAGCCCCCAGCCUUUGUGAGCACGACGACGAUGACGCAAGAAAAGUGGACGAAUUGUGAGAGUGAGGGAUGCUUCUGGCUGUGGGAUGAUGUAACGCUCCUCCCUAAGCAGGCGUAACAGAAGGUCCUGCAUGUCGAGGGGCCACCUGUAGAUCCUCGUGUUCUGAAGCCAACUGGGGACCUGUCUCUGUCCCCAAAACAAAACAAGGGAGGGGGAAAUCCCAAUUACAUACAUCAACAACUUUCACAUCGGUGCAAGGAGUUCAGCACAUUAUCAAGGUUAGGGUUAUAAUGUUGUUUGGGCAUUUCUUUAUGUUUUACUCACUUUUGUUGCAUUGCAAAAUAACACUGGUAUAAGUCUGAAAUUCAGGCAGCCUUGUUGGAUGAAUUCAUUCUGGAUCUGCACCAACAGCAAUAAAAUAAAAUAAAUAAAAAGAUGUGCUCCUAAAAUAUUUCACUCUUGAUCAUACAUUUCACAAUCAAAAUGUUCUGGGUUUGUAAAUAAAUAAAAACAAUAAUACAUAAAUAAAGACACAGAUAGAUAAAUAAAUAAUGUAACGGACCAUCAGAUGAGCAUCCCUGCCCUAGAUAGACCAUUUAACACUUGAUGGUUUGGCAGGCACUCAAGAGAAGCAAAUAUUGUACAGAUAAAGAAAAAAAAAAAUCUGCAAACAUGUGCCAAUGCUGCACUUGUGGAAGCUCACCUGAUUGUGGAUAUACCGUUUUUUUCCGUCUAUAGUGCGCCCCCAUGUAUAAUACGCACCCUAAAAAUGGCAUGC